rnacentral:rRNA from 1 species
ACUAAUAAUACCCUAAACAAUUAACACCUCCUAUAUAUUAACUGGGUCAAUCUAUUUUUAUAGAAAAACUUAUGUUAAAACUAGUAAUAUUAUACUCUUAAAGCACAAGCAAACACAACAGAUAUAUAAAUUUAACCAUUUACCAAGAAAUUAAACUGUAGACCCAACACAGGCGUGCAUUAAAGAAGAUCAAAAACUAUAAAAGGAACUCGGCAAUUAAAAAUCUCAACUGUUUACCAAAAACAUAGCCUUUAGCAUUAAGUAUUAAAGGUGACGCCUGCCCAGUGAUAUUCUUAAACGGCCGCGGGAUCCUCCACCGUGCAAAGGUAGCAUAAUCACUUGUCCCCUAAAUAGUGACUAGUAUGAACGGCCAAAUGAAGAUUUAACUGUCUCUUGUAGUUAAUCUAUGAAACUAAUCUUUCAGUACAAAAACUGAAAUACUAACAUAAGACGAAAAGACCCUGUGGAACUUAAAGCACAACUUACCUAAUAACACUACUGCUUUUAGUUGGGGCAACUCUGGAAAAAAACAAAACUUCCACCACCAAAACAAAAUAAACAUAUUAACUUAGUAGUAACUGACCCAGCCAUGCUGACUAAAGAACCAAGCUACCCCAGGGAUAACAGCGCCAUCCCCUCUUAGAGCCCAAAUCGACGAGCGGGGUUUACGACCUCGAUGUUGGAUCAGGGCCCCCAAACAGUGCAACAGCUGUUAAUGGUUUGUUUGUUCAACAAUUAAAGCCCUACGUGAUCUG